rnacentral:tRNA from 1 species
GCAUUGGUGGUUCAGUGGUAGAAUUCUCACCUGCCAUGCAGGGGGCUUGGGUUUGAUUCCUGGCCAAUACA